rnacentral:tRNA from 1 species
GCCGAAAUAGUUCGGUGGGGAGAGCGUUAGACUAUAGAUCGAAGGUCCCUGGUUCGAUCCCGGAUUUCGGCA